rnacentral:ncRNA from 1 species
AGCCAAGUGCAGAGCGGAUAACUACUGAAAGCAUAUAAGUAGGAAGCCCACCCCAAGAUGAGUGCUCUCCUAUUCUUACUUCCCUGAGAGCCCUAGUUGCGAACACGGUUGGGACAAUGAUGGGUUCUCUAUCCUUGCAGAGGAUGGAGCGACAAAAGUAUUGAGAAUCCAAGAUAAGGUCACGGAAAGACGAGCCAUUUAUCAUUACGAUAGGUGUCAAGUAGAAGUGCAGUGAUGUAUGCAGCUGAGGCAUCCUAACAAACCAAGAGAUUUGAACCU